CUUCCUCCUGCCCUGAUCUUGUAAGAGGUGCCUGCUUCCCUGUCGCCUUGCGCCAUGAUUGUAAGUUUCCUGAGGCCUUCCCAGCCAUGCUUCCUAUACAGCCUGCAGAUCCCUGAGUCAAUUAAACCUCUUUUCUUUAUAAAUUACCCAGUCUCAGGUAGUUCUUUACAGCAGUACAAGAACAGACUAAUACAAGGUGUCCAUGGGGAAAGACACAUGGAGAGAUUUGGGCAGAGAAGAAAGAGAGGCUGGAAAUUUGGAGCUGCCAAUUCCCCUGAACCCCUGUUGUCUACAGAGGCAGCUCCCCUUUGCUCUCCCUUCUCUUUCUCCCCUCCUCUCUCCUCCUUUCACCUCCCAUCCCCCAUGGAACCCAACACUCCUCUAUUAAAAAGCCUUGCAAUGACUGCACCUGGGGAAGUUGCCUCCUGAGCUGAUGCCACUUCCCCAGGACCCACAUCACACCUCUCAUUGCCUCCAGUCCCAGAAAACAGUUGAGACCAUCAGAGGCAGGGUGAGGAGGGCCCAAGACCCCCCUGGGAGGAGAUUGCCUCAACAUGGAGCUGCAGGUCCACUCUAGCAGGUAGCAGCUAGAGCCUGGGAGCAAGUGUGGGGUGGAGUCUGACAGUGCCUGCCCCACAUGGAAGAGAGCGAGCCUGGAUUAGGCUGGGUUUCAGGGUUUAAUAUGUUGGCUCAACCCCUGAGAAAGUGGUUAAUAAUCCUCCAGGUUGGCUAAUUGGACAAAGUUAAUGAGAUUGAAAAGCUUGAAAUCCUGGCACGCUCUAGAGAACAGAGCUCAAAGACUCAAGGAAAUAGAAAUGUAGAAAGGUGCCUACUAUUUGCAACUGACUCAGACCUUCCCUAAUAUGCUUCUUCCCCAAGGGGCCCGGAGGAAGAGAGGAAAUGCAUUGGUGAGUCCUUCACCAGCUCUGUGGGCCGUCCUCUGUGGGCUGGAGGCAGCGCCACUCUAAGCACCAGAGUAGGGGCGGCUCUUAACCAUCAGAGACAAGGCAGGUCUCAAUGCCCCAAGGAGCGAGGGAUCGCAGACUGACCCUUUGGGGAUCUGGGACUCAU
rnacentral:lncRNA from 10 species